AUCAAGAUUCUGGCCACCGCGACCAUCACCAAUGAAAACUGAGACCAUAUUUGGACUCCACAAAACACCCUCUUCCAUUACCUAUGCUUCAAAUCGCCAAUCGUUAUACUUAAAAAAAUGGGGUUUCACCCUCGCCGCGGCUGUGUUGCCAAACUCCGGCCAACACGUUCAUCAUCUAGAAAAACUGACAUCAUUUUUGGAUUCCUCUCGUCGAAACCUUCAAGAAGCACUACUCAUUUGUGUGUUUCGGUGAAGUUGAUGCCGGACCCUGUCGGCGCCCCAGUACGUCGCCAUGUUUCAUUGACUCUGCAAAUUCGUCGAUGCUUUUAGACUCGUUUGGACGUGUUGUCGACAUCUCAUGGUUGCUGAAAAUCAUUAUGGUCCUUCUAUCCUAUGAAAGCGUCAAAUUGAGUUAUUUCAGGUUAUCGAUUGGGGAUCCACGCUCUGAAUAGGUGAUAUUGGGUGGGAGUAAUUUUUCGUAUUUUGUUGAGUUAUGAACAAUUUAGAUUUUUGUAAAUUUGAUUGAUCAAUUGUGUUAUUUUA